rnacentral:rRNA from 1 species
GACCUUCUUCGGAGGGUAUGCUUAAAGAGGGGCUUGCGCCACAUUAGUUAGUUGGUGAGGUAAAGGCUUACCAAGAUUAUGAUGUGUAGCUGGACUGAGAGGUUGAACAGCCACAUUGGGACUGAGACACGGCCCAAACUCCUACGGGAGGCAGCAGUAGGGAAUUUUCGGCAAUGGAGGAAACUCUGACCGAGCGACGCCGCGUGAACGAUGAAGUAUUUCGGUAUGUAAAGUUCUUUUAUUGAAGAAGAAAAAAUAGUGGAAAAACUAUCUUGACGUUAUUCAAUGAAUAAGCCCCGGCUAACUAUGUGCCAGCAGCCGCGGUAAGACAUAGGGGGCGAGCGUUAUCCGGAAUUAUUGGGCGUAAAGGGUGCGUAGGCGGUUAGAUAAGUCUAUAAUUUAAUUUCAGUGCUUAACGCUGUCUUGUUAUAGAAACUGUCUUGACUAGAGUGAGAUAGAGGCAAGCGGAAUUCCAUGUGUAGCGGUAAAAUGUGUAAAUAUAUGGAGGAACACCAGAAGCGUAGGCGGCUUGCUGGGUCUUUACUGACGCUGAGGCACGAAAGCGUGGGGAGCAAACAGGAUUAGAUACCCUGGUAGUCCACGCUGUAAACGAUGAGUACUAAGUGUCGGGGUAACUCGGUACUGAAGUUAACACAUUAAGUACUCCGCCUGAGUAGUACGUACGCAAGUAUGAAACUUAAAGGAAUUGACGGGACUCCGCACAAGCGGUGGAUCAUGUUGUUUAAUUCGAAGAUACACGAAAAACCUUACCAGGUCUUGACAUACUNUGCAAAGCUAUAGAAAUAUAGUGGAGGUUAUCAGGGAUACAGGUGGUGCAUGGUUGUCGUCAGUUCGUGUCGUGAGAUGUUAGGUUAAGUCCUAAAACGAACGCAACCCCUGUCGCUAGUUGCCAGCACGUAAUGGUGGGGACUUUAGCGAGACUGCCAAUUAAACAUUGGAGGAAGGUGGGGAUAACGUCAAAUCAUCAUGCCCCUUAUGAUCUGGGCUACAAACGUGAUACAAUGGCUAUUACAAAGAGUAGCUGAAACGCGAGUUUUUAGCCAAUCUCAAAAAGGUAGUCUCAGUACGGAUUGAAGUCUGCA